rnacentral:rRNA from 1 species
GACGAACGCUGGCGGCGUGCCUAAUACAUGCAAGUUGAGCGCUGAAGGUUGGUACUUGUACCAACUGGAUGAGCAGCGAACGGGUGAGUAACGCGUGGGGAAUCUGCCUUUGAGCGGGGGACAACAUUUGGAAACGAAUGCUAAUACCGCAUAAAAACUUUAAACACAAGUUUUAAGUUUGAAAGAUGCAAUUGCAUCACUCAAAGAUGAUCCCGCGUUGUAUUAGCUAGUUGGUGAGGUAAAGGCUCACCAAGGCGAUGAUACAUAGCCGACCUGAGAGGGUGAUCGGCCACAUUGGGACUGAGACACGGCCCAAACUCCUACGGGAGGCAGCAGUAGGGAAUCUUCGGCAAUGGACGAAAGUCUGACCGAGCAACGCCGCGUGAGUGAAGAAGGUUUUCGGAUCGUAAAACUCUGUUGGUAGAGAAGAACGCUGGUGAGAGUGGAAAGCUCAUCAAGUGACGGGAACUACCCAGAAAGGGACGGCUAACUACGU